ACAAGAAAAAACAAUUAAUUCAACUGGUUAGAUUUUUUUCAUAUACAUAUAUUUCACUUGUGGGACACAUAGAGAUUUGCCAAGGGCCAAAACCACAUAAGGAAUUCCUCUGGUUCUCACUGGCUACACAAGGUUUGAUUGUCAUGAAAAUAUAUCUGUUUGAAACAUGGCCUGCGGAUUGAGUAGAUCAUGCAUUUCAGCUGACCUAAAAUUCACAAAUCAUGCUUGAAUUUUAUCCAUUUUCCCAAAUCAGUGACCAAAUUUCAGCCAGCUCACACACAGCAUGCAACCCCUUCCAGAACCUGUACUGUGAAUAAUCCUAACUGUAUUUGGAUAUAAAUGCCAUUACCAGUGUGUAAUAUGUUGUUAUUUUCAGAGUGUAUCAGCAUCCUAGGGAUGGCUAUGACUUUGAGGUGAAUCAGUAAUAGCAGUUGCACCUAUAGUUGAUAUAAAAAAUUCUUAUACAUUCAUAACUGUUGACAGUAUAGUAGCCUUGUUGGGCUGUUUAUGUUGUUCAUCAGUAACACAUGGGCUUUUUGUAAACAUGUAUAGUCAUGUAACCCUGUCAUUUGUAUUAUUGGGAGUUCAAAGUAAAUCCCAUAGGUAAACAACAUUUUAACUGCAGAUUUCUUGAAAGGUAUGUUAUGAAGUACAUUUUUAUUGUUGUGGAUUUACAAUUUUUUUUAUUUUUUUUA